rnacentral:rRNA from 1 species
UGGGGAAUUUUGGACAAUGGGCGCAAGCCUGAUCCAGCAAUGCCGCGUGAGUGAAGAAGGCCUUCGGGUUGUAAAGCUCUUUUAGUUGAAAAGAAAAAGUCGCGAUUAAUAAUUGCGGCUUAUGACGGUAUCAACAGAAAAAGCACCGGCUAACUACGUGCCAGCAGCCGCGGUAAUACGUAGGGUGCAAGCGUUAAUCGGAAUUACUGGGCGUAAAGGGUGCGCAGGCGGCUUUGUAAGUCAGAUGUGAAAUCCCCGGGCUUAACCUGGGAAUUGCGUUUGAAACUGCAGGGCUAGAGUGCGGCAGAGGGAGGUGGAAUUCCAUGUGUAGCAGUGAAAUGCGUAGAGAUAUGGAAGAACAUCGAUGGCGAAGGCAACCUCCUGGGCUAGCACUGACGCU